UCUGGUUUAUGUGUCACUUUCUGUCUCUUAGGGGCUAAUACUUUCCUGGUGUCUUUGGUGUUCUUCAUUCUCCUUUAGUCCAGGUGGUUGGGACCAAUUAAUGCAUCUUAGAUGGCCGCUUGCAAGUGAAGCAGAUAUUUUUGUGAGAUUGAGAGCAAAUUAUUUCCAGUAAAUAGAGAUGAUUUUGCUACUUCUUUUAGUUAAGCCAUUAUCAUCAAAACGAGGUAUUUAGAAUUUUUACUUAAGAUAAAUAGUUUACCUUCUGUAUUUUUCUGUAUAAAUGUGCAGUCAUUUUUAGAAAAACAAGCACAUGUUCUUGAAGUUUUCCUAAUUUUUGCAACUAUGGUAGGUCUCAGUCAACAUGAAAAACUUCAUUAUAUGUUUAACUCAGAAGCAUUAACAUCUUACCAAUUUAUAUCGUAAAAUAUUCAAAUUACGAUUUUCGAUUUCCUAAACAAAACUUUCGAAAGAUUUUAUCAUUUCAAAAGAAUGAAACAAAGUUUAAUAAAAUACUUACUAAAAGAUUGAUACUUCAGUAAUUUGAAUCUAGUAACUUACCUUUGCAUAAUGAAUCCAUAAUUGAAUAUUUUAAACCUCUGUUGUGGGGGAGAAAAAUUAAGCAUUUUACCUAUCUAAAAUAGGAUAUUGCAUAUCAUAUAGCAUAACAUUGUGCAUAAAAUUGAUAUUCUCAAACAAAUUGACCAUGAAGUUCAUCAUCAGUGUGAAGGUAUUUUACAGUAAACAUAACUGAGUGCUUGUGUCAUAAUUACUGCUUUUUCAGUAAUUAAGGAUUAAGCCUAGUAGGUAAUAUUGAAUAUGUUGGCAAGAAGUGAGUCAGACUUAGUAUAUUCAGUAAUGUGACUUACUUAUAAAAUAUUUCUGAAAAGGCAACCUGAUGUUGCAGAUGCUGCCUAAAUAAAUUAUUUCUAACACCAAAAGACCUUUGGGCGUUUAUCUAUCUUGAAUGAAUAGAUUCAUCAUAUAUAGGUCUUACUUUACUUGAGAAAAAAAUUAUGUUAUCAUCCUAGAUUCUGCCUUUCAUAUAUACUUUGCUUGACAACACAUUAGAUAUUAUGAGUUAACGUCUUGGAAUUCUGCGUAUGCUGGUUCUGAUUUUCACAUUAUUGUUCAUUCUGACCCUCGGCAUGCUACUUAUAAUUCUCUCUUGUUUCUUUAUUUUUAAAAUAGACAAAAUAAAGACCUGUUUUUUUGUUAAGAGGAGAAUUCAACAAAGACAUUUAUUUAAAAUGAUUGUAAUAUAAGGUAAUAUUUUCAUUUACACUUAUACUGUUUUGGAAACACCUUUGAUGUUUUAUGUAUGAUGCUAACCUAGCAUAGUUUUAAAACAUUAAUAAUUGCAUUAUUUUCAAGUCACUUAUUAUCACUUUGAAAAAUAACAUUAAAUUACUGAUUUAUCUACUUGUUUGAAGCCUACAUUUAGAGGAGGCAGAGUUAGAUUUCAUAAUAAUUUAUGAAAGAUGCUUUUUUCUUUGAAAAGGGGGGAGAUGAGUUGAUGUGUAUGCCUGUGUGCCAGGAGAUUAUUGACUUUACAGUUGAAACCUCUUCUUUGUCCAAAAUUUUAAAUUGAGGAUUUCAAAGGCUCGAGAUGAAAGAGAAGCUACAGUUACAUAGUAGCUUGAAGUACAGAUUUUGGACCAUGAUUUGAAUUCCAACUUUGUCACUUCCUGUGGGACUUAAGGAUUGUUUUUUUGUGUCUCUGUAUAUGGACUGUAUAUACAUAGUUUGUAAUAAUAUCUGCCUUAAAGUUAUGUGAUUGUUAAGAUGUUGGAAAUGCACAGUAAAUGUUAGCUCUUAUUGAUUUAAGAGGACUAGAUUAGAAACUUUACUUCAUAAAAGUACAUUAGUCUUAGUGUUAAUAAAAUAUUGUUUAGUUUAUCAUCUGUGUAGGGGUUUUAAUUUUUUUUAAAAUAAAUAGUGGAAAUCACAUUUUCCUCCAGAGUCUUACCUGAUGCCUUGAUGUAUAAAACAGAAAAAUAGAGCUGCUGUAAUUGAAGUGGUACCUCUGCAGAACAGUUAGUGCUUUCGAAUCCCAAAGAUGAACUAAAAACAUAAGAAGCCUUGAUACUGAAAAUGUACAGCCAAAACAAAAACUAGAAAAUUGAAUUCGACUUGAGAAUUUUACUUGGAAGUCUCUUAACUUACUUUACUUGAACCAAUCUGUAUAUGGGGAAGGUCUGCAAUUCAUAAG